rnacentral:snoRNA from 1 species
CGGCAUCCCAAAGUGCUGGGAUUACAGACUGAGUCACCAAGCCCGGCUGACCCUAUGUAUUUCUACAGUGCUUGCCAGAAGAGUUUUGACACAGUUUGAGGCCUUGCCCUGCUCCAUCCAGAGCAAGGUUAUAGAAAUUUUAGACAAUU